AGUGUUAACAGCACGUUCAGUUGCAUGCAAUAGACCCGAAACCGGGUGACCUAUCCAUGUCCAGGAUGAAGUGAGGGUAAAACCUCAUGGAGGUCCGAACCCACUCCCGUUGAAAUGGUAGGGGAUGAGGUGUGGAUAGCGGAGAAAUUCCAAUCGAACCCGGAGAUAGCUGGUUCUCCUCGAAAUAGCUUUAGGGCUAGCCUCGUUUUAGUCUUAUGGAGGUAGAGCACUGAAUUUCCGCGGGGGCGUCAAAGCUUACCAAAGAAUAUCAAACUCCGAAUGCCAUGUAGAUGAUGAACGGGAGUCAGACUGCACGAGAUAAGUUGGGCGGUCAAAAGGGAAAGAGCCCAGACCACCGGCUAAGGUCCCAAAGUGUGUGUUAAGUGGAAAAGGAUGUGGGAAUUCGAAGACAACUAGGAUGUUGGCUCAGAAGCAGCCAUACAUUCAAAGAGUGCGUAACAGCUCACUAGUCGAGAGUCCCUGCGCCGAAAAUGUCCGGGGCUGAAACACAACACCGAAGCCGUGGACUCCGUAAGGAGUGGUAGAGGAGCAUUCUUAAAACCGACGAAGCUGUACCGGUAAGGAGCAGUGGAGGGAUAAGAAGAGAGAAUGCCGGAAUGAGUAGCGAGAGGAAGGUGGGAAUCCUUCCGGCCGAAUAUCUAAGGUUUCCAGAGUAAAGCUGAUCUGCUCUGGGUAAGUCGGGGCCUAAGGAGAGGUCGCAAGACGUAUCCGAUGGACAACAGGUUUAGAUUCCUGUACCGCAUAUAAACAGAACUGUGGGGACGCAUGUGGAAAGCAUAAGCCGGGAAUGGAAAGACCGGUACAAGCGGGGUAGGUGUGUGACAGGCAAGUCCGUCGCAUAAGCCGAAGACGUGAUGUGGAGCGAAAUUUAGUAGUGAAGUAUGUGAGCCAUGUGCCGAGAAAAGCCGCUAUUGUUUUAUAUGUGCCCGUACCGUAAACCGACACAGGUGGAUGAGGAGAGAAUCCUAAGGCCGACGGAAGAAGCAUUGUUAAGGAACUCGGCAAAAUGACCCCGUAACUUCGGGAGAAGGGGUGCCCACUGAAUGGUGGGCCGCAGAGAAUAGGCUCAAGCAACUGUUUAGCAAAAACACAGGUCUAUGCGAAACCGAAAGGUGAGGUAUAUGGGCUGACGCCUGCCCGGUGCUGGAAGGUUAAGAGGAGAGGUUAGCGCAAGCGAAGCUUUGAAUUUAAGCCCCAGUAAACGGCGGCCGUAACUAUAACGGUCCUAAGGUAGCGAAAUUCCUUGUCGGGUAAGUUCCGACCCGCACGAAUGGUGUAACGAUCUGGGCACUGUCUCAACUACCCACCCGGCGAAAUUGUAGUACCGGUGAAGAUGCCGGUUACCUGCGGCAAGACGGAAAGACCCCAUGGAGCUUUACUGUAGCCUGAUAUUGGGUUUCGGAAAUCUAUGUACAGGAUAGGCGGGAGACUAGGAAACAUGAGCGUCAGCUUGUGUGGAGUCGAUGUUGGGAUACCGCCCUUAGGUUUCUGGAAUUCUAACCUGCGGCCGUGAAUCCGGUCGGGGGACAUUGUCAGGUGGGCAGUUUGACUGGGGCGGUCGCCUCCGAAAAGGUAACGGAGGCGCUCAAAGGUUAGCUCAGCACGGACGGAAACCGUGCCUCUGAGUGUAAACGCAAAAGCUAGCCUAACUGCGAGGGUGACGGCCCGAGCAGUAACGAAAGUUGGAGUUAGUGAUCCGGCGGUAUGUGAAUGGAAAUGCCGUCGCUCAACGGAUAAAAGCUACCCUGGGGAUAACAGGCUGAUCUCCCCCAAGAGUCCACAUCGACGGGGAGGUU
rnacentral:rRNA from 1 species